UGACCAUCCGCGGCGCGCGGAUCGAGGCUACACGGACGGCCGGGUCAAAUGCCGA
rnacentral:sRNA from 1 species